UUCUCUCAGUAAGUCAGAUAAACCAGGUGAAGGUGAUCUGGAGAUGAAGAAAAGGUGUUGUUGAAAGUGAUCUGGAUCUCUUCUCUGAAGCCCUGGCGAUUGUUGCUGUCUGUGAAGCAAAAGGAUGUACAUUAAUGUUUGACCUUUCUGGACAAAUUUCCAGUGCUUGGCUUUUGAGACUCAGUGAGACAUCAAACAGCUGCAGAGAAAAGGAGUUUUAUAUUUUCCACCUUGUGAAGUCAUCUCCACUAAAUAAUAACCUCUUGUCUCUUAGUGCGCUACCGUAUCUUUUCUGUGGAUCACAGCAUGGGACAUUUGGACAAACAUGUGGUUGUUGAGAUUGUGACACCAGAAGACAUUAUUGUCAGCCAGAAGAUGAUGAAUUCAACACUUUCCUGGACUUACAACAUACCAGAACUUGUCAGUUUGGGGACCUGGAAGGUUGUGGCCAAGUAUCAAGACUCCCCAGAGGAGAGCUUCAGCACACCGUUCGAAGUCAAGGAAUAUG